AGAGAGCCUUGGUGCCGCAGUAGAGCAGAUUGCAGCAGUCUGUCGAGACACCAACCACUGCACAGACAGGAGAGGAAAACACAGUAAGGAUGUGUGUGUGUCAGGGUUGGGGUUGGGGUCAAUUCAGGAAGUAAAACAAAUUCCAAAUGUUCCUCAUUGAAAAACAUUGAGAAUUGUAAUUUCAGUGUACUAUCUGAAUUCAAUGGAAUUGACCCCAACCCUGGUGUGUGUGAGUGAGUGUGGUUUAGAGUUAGAACCAUACUCACUGCCCCAGUUAGCGUAGAAGUUACGAUUGAGGUCUGUUCCAUAGCAGGUACAGCCUCCUGUUCCUGGAGAUCUGGACUUCCUCCACAGUCGAGUCUACAGAGAUAAGAACCACUAGUCACUAACUGGAAUGAUAAUACUGUCAUCAAUAAUAUUUAUGUUACAAUAUGUCAUCCAAGCCAAUAGAUGGCGCUCUUGUUACUUCUAAGGUCUACUCAUAUAUUGUACCAGCAUGUCUAGGUCUGUUGUGAACUAUGUACUGUACUGAUAACACCUGGCAGAGAUGUGACGCAAUUAAAGACACAAUUUGUCAUA